GUUGGGGAUCUUGGGCAAAGGAGUUAAGACAGGAUAUGGAAACAAUGGACUCAUUGUAGAAAGAUGAUAGAGGGAUGAGAAGGAGAUCAGUGGAACACAGCACCAUCUACAGGCUGAUACAGCACACCAUCAGAUGAUCACAAGGAGAUGGCCAGAAGUGGGUGACCGUUUUGUAGCCCCACCACCUUUCCUGUGCCAAAAAUGCCAACUGUAACAACAAAGAGUGGCAGAUGCCAAGGGAAUGUCAGACGAAUGACCUCCGUGAAGUCGGCCUACCAAAGAAAAGCAAAUAUUUACCCUGCGUGUUUGAACCCAUGGCGCAGUGCCACGGCUGCCCCUCGGAGCACAUACUGGGCCUAUAGGCUUACUCGUCCUCCAACUUUACACACUGGGACCCCUGGGUACACCCUGUAUGACGCCAGAUAAAGUCUUCUCAAUCAUAGAGUGGAACAUGUCAGUAAGGGGUCCAGCACAUCCCAGAGCUCAGCCGCCCUGAGACCAAUGUCUCCUUGUGGAACACUGACUUCAAAGUCCAUUUUGGAAGGAAUGAUCUGAAGAAUGCGAACUGGUCUCUGAUAACCAACAGAGAAGUCGGGAUCAGUGGAGAAGCCACCAAAUGAGAUCUCCUGGGCAUCAAACACACACAAUACAUAAAACAUGUGCAUAUCAUAUUAAUGUGCCAUUCUAUUCUUCUGUUGAGGUGAAGCUGGUUGGAAUAUGCUGACUGUCUUGACUGUGCAUGAUUUACUCGCCUGUCAUCAGUGAAUAAUUUUAUAUGGAAAACAUAUAUUGGGUCUAGCUUUGCUCGACUCUUUGACUCAGACUCCCCUCUUGGAA